UGACCUCGGAUCAGGUAGGGAUACCCGCUGAACUUAAGCAUAUCAAAACCAAAAGAAAA
rnacentral:rRNA from 1 species